AACGAACGCUGGCGGCAUGCCUAACACAUGCAAGUCGAACGAGACCUUCGGGUCUAGUGGCGCACGGGUGCGUAACGCGUGGGAAUCUGCCCUUGGGUUCGGAAUAACAGUUAGAAAUGACUGCUAAUACCGGAUGAUGACUUCGGUCCAAAGAUUUAUCGCCCAGGGAUGAGCCCGCGUCGGAUUAGCUAGUUGGUGAGGUAAAGGCUCACCAAGGCGACGAUCCGUAGCUGGUCUGAGAGGAUGAUCAGCCACACUGGGACUGAGACACGGCCCAGACUCCUACGGGAGGCAGCAGUGGGGAAUAUUGGACAAUGGGCGAAAGCCUGAUCCAGCAAUGCCGCGUGAGUGAUGAAGGCCUUAGGGUUGUAAAGCUCUUUUACCCGGGAUGAUAAUGACAGUACCGGGAGAAUAAGCCCCGGCUAACUCCGUGCCAGCCGCCGCGGUAA
rnacentral:rRNA from 1 species